rnacentral:lncRNA from 10 species
GAACACAAAAUGGCGACACGUGGUUAGCAUUCGUCGCCAACGAGAAAUUGGGGUCGGCCCGAAAGCUCUAGAAUGCACCCCUCUUCCUCCCCGGGGCCUUCCACCUCCGCGAGUUUUAUGACUUAAAAAAGCCCACAGGCUGGUCUGAAGAGGAAGACAAACAUAAAGAUGAAGUGCUUAAUUCAAGGUCACACAAUGUCGGGGAUGGACCUCCAGAUUUCCUUACUGGAAAACAAGCUCAGGGCUCCCACUGAUUGUACAUUAUGAGACGGAGUCUUGCUAUGUUGCCCAGGCUGGUCUUGAACUCCUCACCUCAAGCGAUCCUCCCGUCUUGGCCUCCCAAGUGUCAGGAUUACGGGCAUGUGCUAUCACACCCAACCUGAUACAUUGCCUUUAUAAAUUUUUUUUUCUUUAUUCUAAAAACCAGAAAAAACAAAACUGGAUACAUGUGCAGAACAUGCAGGUGAGACGUGGUCUUGUAACACAGUGGUUAAGAAUGUGACUUUGGAGCCAGCCUGCUAGGGGCUGAAUUCUGACUCAGCCAUUUACUAACUGUGUGACCUUAGGCUGGAGUGCAAUGGCAUGAUCUCGGCUCAUCACAACCUCUGCUUCCUGGGUUCAAGCGAUUCUCCUGCCUCAGCCUCCCGAGUACCUGGGACUACAGGCACUCGCCACCAUG